rnacentral:tRNA from 1 species
GGUAAGAAAAGGCUACAACCUUCAUGAUCGAGGCUACAACUCGACACCUAUCUCGGCCACCUUACC